UACGAAGGGGGCUAGCGUUGCUCGGAAUCACUGGGCGUAAAGGGUGCGUAGGCGGGUCUUUAAGUCAGGGGUGAAAUCCUGGAGCUCAACUCCAGAACUGCCUUUGAUACUGAGGAUCUUGAGUUCGGGAGAGGUGAGUGGAACUGCGAGUGUAGAGGUGAAAUUCGUAGAUAUUCGCAAGAACACCAGUGGCGAAGGCGGCUCACUGGCCCGAUACUGGACGCUGAGGC
rnacentral:rRNA from 1 species